rnacentral:rRNA from 1 species
UACGUAGGGUGCAAGCGUUGUCCGGAAUUAUUGGGCGUAAAGAGCGUGUAGGCGGCUAGGUAGGUCCGUUGUGAAAACUCGAGGCUCAACCUCGAGCUGUCGAUGGAAACCAUCUGGCUAGAGUCCGGAAGAGGAGAGUGGAAUUCCUGGUGUAGCGGUGAAAUGCGCAGAUAUCAGGAAGAACACCAAUGGCGAAGGCAGCUCUCUGGGACGGUACUGACGCUGAGGCACGAAAGCGUGGGUAGCAAACAGG